AAAUGAAAUUCUGGGGCCGCAGAUCCAUGGGAAAGAUGGUUUGGAUGGAUGACUGGAUGGCAAGGUGCUCUGGCCCAAAUAGGUGUUGCCAUUUUAAUAACGAUAAUCAUCCUCGCUCUUCUUGUUUGUUGUGUGUUACCUUGUCUUAAGAAAUGCCUACAAAAGACAGUUGAUCAGACAAUCGACCAGACCACCCCGACCUUCCUUCACCAAGAGAUUGACGACAUAGACCGUGAUACACCCUUACAGUCCCACCGCACUAAAUCAACAGCUACUUCCUCUUAAGGACAUUCAGGGAUAGCGUCUGUCUCUACGGGCAGAAGUCUGUCGCGGGAGAAGUAGU